rnacentral:rRNA from 1 species
CGGGUGAGUAAUGCAUAGGAAUCUACCCAGUAGCGGGGGACAACCUGGUGAAAACCAGGCUAAUACCGCAUACGCCCUACGGGGGAAAGCAGGGGAUCUUCGGACCUUGCACUAUUGGAUGAGCCUAUGUCAGAUUAGCUAGUUGGUAGGGUAAUGGCCUACUAAGGCGACGAUCUGUAGCUGGUUUGAGAGGAUGAUCAGCCACACUGGGACUGAGACACGGCCCAG